rnacentral:lncRNA from 1 species
CCUGUCUCAAGGUGGGCUGGAUUUAAAAACCUCCGCAUAAUCCUUAGCUCUUUUCCUCUUCACCUAUGCAUCACCCGCAAAGCACCUGCUGCCUGCCAGGCCUCGUGCUGGUCUAGGAGACCAGAUGGCAGCAGAUGCACAUGGUCCCUGCUUGCCCCAUAGAAAGGCAGAACCACUUCCAUGAGUGGGGCAUGUCAGGGCCACCUCACUGGGGGUCAGGGAAGGUUUCCUAGAGGAGACGAGGUACCAAACUGAGGCUUGCAGUGUCAAUCAGGGAUGGGCAGGAGAAGGAAAGGGAGGGCGCCCCAGGCAGAUGGAACAGCAGCAGCGAAGGCUGGGUGGGGUCCUCUGUCUCCCGGCCUGCUGUGGUGGUGGCUGCACAGCAGUGGAGAUGCCUGCCAGCUAGGCUGAUCCCUAGCUGGAUCCCAGCCCUCUCCACCCGGGCAGCAACAUGGGCCUUGGUGCUCGUGGGAGAGCACUGUUCUAGAGGGUUCUUCCUCAUCCAGCAGAGAGGAACCUGUCCAUGCCAGCAAUCAGCAUGAGCAGGAUGGAGGAGGAUAAGGGGGUACGAGGAGGCUGGAGAGCAGAGGCCAAGAAGCUUCGGGGGACAGAGACUGAGCCGAGGGAGGGAGGCGGGGGCCUGGAGCCUGCAGGACCUGUCGCCUCAGCAAGAAGGUCUCUCCAGUAAGGGCAGCUGGGAGUCCCAGAAGGCGCGGGCAGAGGAGUGUCAGCUGGCUGCAGUUUGGAUGGUCUGGGGCACUGAGGGGCCUCUGCUUUUUACAUCAAGUGACCACCUACUUCCAGCCUCCUUCCUUCUGACCAAAGCAUGCAAGGCCCAGAGGACUGCCUGGGUAAGCUAAGCGCACAGCAGCCUGUGCCUGGGAGCCGCCCCAUGAGCAGGGUGGACAGACAUGCUCCGUGCUGCACAGGUCCCCGGCCACCUGGAGGGACUCAGGUCUCACCACCACUGGGGCCAGCUCACCCGGGGCUGGCUCUCAGUACUCAGAGGCCGUGAGGACAGUGGCCCAGGAAGAACAGCUGGCAACCUGUGAGCUGCUCCCACGCAGUCAUGUGCACACUGCUGGUCAGCAAUAGUGACACUAACCAUAGCAACAGGAGGGCCAUUACCAGUUUAGCCAGGGCCAGCCUCCAUGCCCAGCAUCUUACAGGAACUCCCAAUCCCUAGUGGUUACCAGCUGAGCUGGGCCUCAAACCCAGGUCAUCUGCCUCCAAAGCCUCCCAUGGCUCACACACUGGCUUCCACAGCAACUGACAUGGGCCUUACACCCCCACCCAGGAUGCUAGGUGCCUGGUGUGGCUGUUCUUUGCUCUGUAGGCUUCUGCGUUUGAGCCCUGGCCCCUCUGUGUGAGGAACUCACAUCCACAAGUGCAGGAAGGAGAGAUGCCUAGUGCAGCAGUCAUGGCUGUGGGCACAGGAGAAGAAUGCUGACAUUCGACUCCUGCCUUCAUUCUGACUGCGUGUCCUUGGGCAGGUCACCAGCUUCUGUGCCUGGCUGGCCAGACCAGUGCCUGCCACAUAGGAAAGGCUCUUGAGUAGGCUGUCAUUAUAACACUAUCAUUACCAUCCUCAUCACCACCACCACCAUCAUCACCAUCAUCAUUGAUCACUAUUGUCACCAUCAUGAUCACCAUCAUCACCACCACUACCACCACUGUCAUGAUCAUCACCACCAUAUCACCACCAUCACCAUCAUCAUGACCAUCAUCGCCACCAUCAUCAUCACUACCUCCAGCAGCAUCACCAUUACCACUACUACCACCAUGUCAUCAUGAUCAUUGCCAUCAUCAUCACCAUAACCAUUAUCACCAUCAUAAUCACCAUCAUCACCAUCCCACUACCACCACCGUCAUCAUGAUCACGAUCAUCACCAUCAUCAUCACCACCACUAUCACCACCAUCACCACCACCACCGCCACCACCAUCACCAUUGCCAUUGCCAGCACAAUCAUCACCACCACCAUUGUCAUCAUCACCAUUAUCAUCACUAUCACUCUGAGAGUUCCCAGGCUGAACUUGGCCCCAGGAAUGAGCAUUUUCAUCCCAGCCCACUUUCCCUUGCUUUGAGUAGCCAAGCAGGUCUCCUCACAGGCAUGAGGGUCAAGACCCUGCCUGCUGGGCUGGGUCCCGAGGUGAACCUCUUGGUGGUGACACUUGUCUUUCCACAACAUGGCCUGAUAUCCUCCUGGUCGUACCUUCCGUCACGUGAUAGGAGUCCAGCAGGGACAGAUGAUUUUGCUUGUGCAGUCACGGGGGAAGUAGCUCCCAGCGGGGAACCCAGUUCUGAAGCCUAGUUUUCAACCUAGAAACGUCCUAUGCUCCUCCCAGCCACACCAGAUGAAAUAGAACAAGACCACACCUCCCACUAGUGAGCAGGCUGUUGUCC